rnacentral:rRNA from 1 species
UCGUAGUUGAACGUUCGGGUUCCGCGGGACGGGGCCGCCCCGCGAGGGACGGCGCCGCCCCCGGGGCUCGUGAUAUCUUAUCUCGCCGCCCGUCGCGAGGCGGACGGAGGGAUGGAUGAGGUUACCUGGAAAAAAUCGGGGCGAUCUAGGCGGGCGAACCUCGCCAACGAACGAUCGGACAUGGGAUAACGGAAGAGGGCGUCGGCUCGACUUCGUCGGUUCCUCGGGCCGAGGCACGUACGGUGAAUAGGGACGGUCGGGGCCGCCCGUACCGGGUCGUGAGAGGUGAAAUUCUAGGAUCGACCCGAGACGAACUGCCGCGAAAGCAUUCGGCAAGGACGCUUUCAUUAAUCAAGAACGAAAGUCGGGGGAUCGAAGACGAUCAGAUAUCGUCGUAGUCCGACCGUAAACGAUGCCGACCGAGGGCCCGGAGGAGUUACGUACGACCCUCCGGGCCCUCCCGCGAGAAAUCAGGAGUAUUCGGGUUCCGGGGGGAGUAUGGUCGCAAGGCCGAAACUUAAAAGGAAUUAGACGG